AAUUUGAAAUCAGGCGCCUUCGGUGUCCGAGUUGUAAUUUGAAGAUUGUAACCUUGGGGUUGGCUCUUGUCUAUGUUUCUUGGAACAGGACGUCACAGAGGGUGAGAAUCCCGUGCGAUGAGAUGCCCAAUUCUAUGUAAGGUGCUUUCGAAGAGUCGAGUUGUUUGGGAAUGCAGCUCUAAGUGGGUGGUAAAUUCCAUCUAAAGCUAAAUAUUGGCGAGAGACCGAUAGCGAACAAGUACAGUGAUGGAAAGAUGAAAAGAACUUUGAAAAGAGAGUGAAAAAGUACGUGAAAUUGUUGAAAGGGAAGGGUUUGAGAUCAGACUCGAUAUUUUGUGAGCCUUGCCUUCGUGGCGGGGUGACCCGCAGCUUAUCGGGCCAGCAUCGGUUUGGGCGGUAGGAUAAUGGCGUAGGAAUGUGACUUUACUUCGGUGAAGUGUUAUAGCCUGCGUUGAUGCUGCCUGCCUAGACCGAGGAC
rnacentral:rRNA from 1 species